UCCUCUCUCUAAGCUUCUGCUUGGGCGUUGGACCGAGUUGUGGUAACGCAACUGGUCUCAAAGACAAUGACGGCGUCCGUGGGACCCUCUUCGCAACGAGUCUUUCGAGGCACGCGGGGAGUUGCAAGGUCCCGUCGGGUCGGUCUAACCUUUUAUUUUUCUCA
rnacentral:misc_RNA from 1 species